rnacentral:rRNA from 1 species
UAAGGGAUAUUGCGCAAUGGGCGAAAGCCUGACGCAGCAACGCCGCGUGGAGGAAGAAGGCCUUCGGGUUGUAAACUUCUUUUAGCAGGGACGAGGAAGGACGGUACCUGCUGAAUCAGUCACGGCUAACUACGUG